UUUCGUUGAGGGGUGCGGCACAUCCUAUGGGAAGGGGCGUGUCUUUUCAUCUUUCGUUCGGUGUGGCAUUUUUGUUGAGAGGUGCGGCACAUCCUAUGGGAAGGGGCGUGUCUUUUCAUCUUUCGUUCGUUGUGGCAUUUUUGUUGAGAGGUGCGGCACAUCCUAUGGGAAGGGGCGUGUCUUUUCAUCUUUCGUUCGUUGUGGCAUUUUUGUUGAGAGGUGCGGCACAUCCUAUGGGAAGGGGCGUGUCUUUUCAUCUUUCGUUCGCUGUGGCAUUUUUGUUGUAAGGUGCGGCGCUUCCGUUGGGAAGAGUGUUUUGAGUGUAACUGUUCUGCUGUGGGGUCUGCUUCUGCAGUUCUUGGAUAUAACUGUAUUGCUGUAGAGUUUGGUUCUUCUGUUGUUAGAUGUGC